rnacentral:rRNA from 1 species
ACGAUGAUCCAGCUUGCUGGGGGAUUAGUGGCGAACGGGUGAGUAACACGUGAGUAACCUGCCCUUAACUCUGGGAUAAGCCUGGGAAACUGGGUCUAAUACCGGAUAUGACUCCUCAUCGCAUGGUGGGGGGUGGAAAGCUUUAUUGUGGUUUUGGAUGGACUCGCGGCCUAUCAGCUUGUUGGUGAGGUAAUGGCUCACCAAGGCGACGACGGGUAGCCGGCCUGAGAGGGUGACCGGCCACACUGGGACUGAGACACGGCCCAGACUCCUACGGGAGGCAGCAGUGGGGAAUAUUGCACAAUGGGCGAAAGCCUGAUGCAGCGACGCCGCGUGAGGGAUGACGGCCUUCGGGUUGUAAACCUCUUUCAGUAGGGAAGAAGCGAAAGUGACGGUACCUGCAGAAGAAGCGCCGGCUAACUACGUGCCAGCAGCCGCGGUAAUACGUAGGGCGCAAGCGUUAUCCGGAAUUAUUGGGCGUAAAGAGCUCGUAGGCGGUUUGUCGCGUCUGCCGUGAAAGUCCGGGGCUCAACUCCGGAUCUGCGGUGGGUACGGGCAGACUAGAGUGAUGUAGGGGAGACUGGAAUUCCUGGUGUAGCGGUGAAAUGCGCAGAUAUCAGGAGGAACACCGAUGGCGAAGGCAGGUCUCUGGGCAUUAACUGACGCUGAGGAGCGAAAGCAUGGGGAGCGAACAGGAUUAGAUACCCUGGUAGUCCAUGCCGUANACGUUGGGCACUAGGUGUGGGGGACNUUCCACGUUUUCCGCGCC